rnacentral:rRNA from 1 species
AUGGCGGCCGCGCCCCGUGAGGUUCCGACGCCCUUGGCCUCCGCUAUUCUUCUUCUGCCGGCCAAAAGGGUGAAGCAAGAUCCGAGUUGUCCGGAACCCUCGUCCGCGGUUCCGGCCAUGGAGGCCGCAGGCUGGUCCACGCUCUCGGGUGACCUCAUCCGCCGCAUCGCCGACUCCUUCCUCGCCAACAACGACCUGGACUACUACAUGUCUGUCCGCGGCGUCUGCCCCACCUGGCGUGCCGCCACCGACGACCCCACCAGCCACACCGGGGACUCCCGCUUCCAUUCGCGCGGGUGGAUCGUCCUGGACGAGGACUUCCAGGGCGACGGCAGGCGGGUCUUGCUCAACACCCUCACCGGCCGCUUCUUCCGCAAGAAGCUGCCGCUGCUGCUGGAUUACUACAUCAUUGGUACCAGUCAGGGCUUCUUCGUCCUGGCAGACAGGAGCCCUCCUCACGCCCCUCGUGUCUUCAAUCCUCUCACCAGCUGCAUGGUUCGUUUUGCGGCGCCCGUGCCCUGUGAGGUGGGGCUCUCUGAAGUUGACUCCUCGCUGGCGCUCGCUUUGUUCUGCGACUCAUCUCGCACGAUUUACAAGGCUGCUCGUGACAGUGAACAUUUUGUCGCUGUCAAGACGAGGUCUAAAAAGCCGGCGGUUUACGAUUGCUUCCGCAAGGCGGCUGUAGGUGGUGUCUACGCAGAAAUCAGUGGUCUGAAAUCAACCGUAUUAGCUGAGACGAUUACAAUUUUACCCAUGGCUAUGCGGGCUUGUUUUAGUGCUGAUUCUGAGUUUUACUCCGAUCUUCAUAGAGAUGUGAAGGACCUCCAGAGUUCCCUGGUGGUUUUAUCUGGACAGAUGUUGCUCGUCGUGGGUGCGCCCAUUCCCUUUGUUUGCCAAGUGGACAUCGAUGCAGCUAGGUUGCAUCCUUUGAGGAGCAUCGACAGAUUUGCCAUCUUCCUCAGUAACCGGAGGUGCCUAGCUGUGGACACUGACAUGUUCCCAUCGAUUAAUGCAAACUGUAUCUAUUUCAUUCAUCUUCUGGGUACGUCUGCUUAUAUAUGCAAGUCCAACAUAGAGGACAGGAAAGUAGAGAGGAUCUCUGAAAAUCCAGAUUUCGUGAAGCAGGGCAAGCAGUUUGUCCUCGUCGCUUGCCGUCCUGUGACGGUCAUCCAGCUUCUAUCGAGCUACACCAUCAACAUCCCGGAUUCUCAGCUGGCACUGCAACAGAUGCCAUAA